CAAGUCUAGAAUGUAACCCAGCUUGGGUGUGGUCCCUCAGACCAGGAGGAGAACCCCAGGUCUAGGUGGCUCAUCGUCUAGGAUCGAAGAGAGGGCGGCCUGGCUGGAAGAAAUUCUGCAUCUUUAAAAAGCUUGAACAACAAACUGGGGAGGGAGAAGAUGACUCUUAACAAUAAUAAUUCUUAUGCCUCUGCAAUCCAAGCUGUAAAUCGACGAUUCAUCUAAGAAGCUGCUGGGAAGAAUCUCCAGAGGGUUCCAGAAGAACAGCAGUGGCUGGCCUUGGAGGCCCCAUGACGCUGCUUCCCCUCUCUCAACUGGUAGCAUAUGUUGGAGCUCUCUGGGGCCUGUGAUGUCACCCGGCGGGCCAGCCCACCGCUGUGGUUAUGAUGUCGUCUGCUGUCUGGCUGCGUGGGUCUGUGGCCAGUCCAGUGGCUGGAGUGGGGCAGUCCCUGGAGGCGGUCCCUUUGUGUCUGCACAGGAAGCGACCCCCAUGACUCAGUCUACAGG